GACGUAGGGCGCGAGCGUUGUCCGGAUUUAUUGGGCGUAAAGAGCUCGUAGGCGGCUUGUCGCGUCGUUCCGUGAAAACCCACAGCUCAACUGUGGGCUUGCGGUCGAUACGGGCAGGCUAGAGUUCGGUAGGGGAGACUGGAAUUCCUGGUGUAGCGGUGAAAUGCGCAGAUAUCAGGAGGAACACCGAGUGGCGAAGGCAGGUCUCUGGGCUUUAACUGACGCCUGGAGGAGCGAAAGCGUGGGGAGCGAACAGG
rnacentral:rRNA from 1 species